GCAGGAGGAGACCACAGGAGGAAACUUGGGUCACAUGACUCUGCAAAUUUAACCACUGACUAAUGUUUUUAAACAGGGUUACAGGUGGAGUGGAGCUGCUCCAAGAGGGAAACCCUGGAGAUUGUUUUAGGGAGAAUGUGCGACAUUUUUGUACAUGUCUCAUUGUGUGGAGUUGACACAUGGCGAGAGCUGUGUGGCACAAGAGGAGUGUCAAUUUUUGAUUUGCAGGUGUCGUGAGGUGCCAUGACGAGAAGGAGUGACUGAGGAAGAUCGUCCACAAGAUGGAAGCUGAGGCCAGGAGAGAGGCUUCAGGAGGAUCAGAGAUCAUCUUCAGCACAGCAGACAUCCCACAGAGAGCUGUGCUACUGGGCUUCCAGGAGAUCGUCAUGAGGAGACUUCGCACAGCAAAAUCUUAAAUAAAAUGAAAGAGAUUCAGCAUUGAUGUUGAGGAAGACAACUAAGGUGUACGACGUGCUCUACCUUAAAUCGUCCGCGGUGUUGGAACGUGAGAACCUGAGGGAUGAAGGAGCGUGCCAAGCUCCAUCUGACGGGCAGGAGCAAGUUCAGCGAUGGACUUGUGGUUCUGUGAACAGCACAAAUGCCAGGUGCUUUUAUUUUGAAAGGGGCCGGGAGAAAAAGAAACGAGGGAGAAGGCAGCAGCCACGGGAGAUUGGAGGAGAGAGAGAAGCAUGGGUGAGAUACGGCUAGCGUCUACGGAGACUUUUCCCACGGGACGGCGAGGAUAAAUCAUCCCACGUCGACGGCGGAGUAACAGAGUGUAUGGGACUGUGAGGUAGUGCUGCCCGGACUGGCUUGCACUGUUGCCUCGGAAUCUCCUAGUUAGCGGCGUGCUAACUUGGCUAACCGGAGUUAGCCCUCAAGGCGGACUUCGCUAAGGAUCACCGGACCUGUACAGAGCGAGAGGCUACCAACUGCUGAGGCUGACCGAUCAGGACUGUUGGUUCCUACGCACACAAGCAUCGAUCCAGGCCUGCACCGAGGGGACUUGGGAAAUUGGGGUGUGAGUGUGUGGGGCCCAUUACGGUAACGAACUGUUUAACUGUUGUUAUUGUUAUAAUUUAUCAUUGCAAGAGACUGUUUACUUUAAUGAUUUUGUGGGUGUUUAUCAAUCCAUUCAGUAAACCCGCUUAGUUGAAACGGAAGAUCUUGUGUGUUGUACUGUUUCUUAUAUAUAGUUCAGAGUAAGAUAAAGGUGUUAUACGUGUGUAACUAAGGGGAGCUUGCACUGAGGGCAACUGGGUAAGUUCAAGGUAACUAGAACUCAGGGCGUACCCGGCUAUAGUGGAGUACUGAGUCAGGGGCGCUACAAGUAUGUGCAGCAGCUCAAGCUGUACAAUGUUCUGGGGAAAUUGUUUUAUUUCAUCCUUUGACACUGUUAGUUCCACACGAGGUAGAUGUUUUACUACUGCAGACUAAAAUUACAUUUCUGUCACCUGCAAGACACUUGUCUUAAAUGUCAUUGUUACUCUCACAACCACAUAUUACCAUAAAGCGGUGCACAAUUCUGAAUCCGUCAACCCUUUUGCCAACGAAGGAAGAGGGCACUCCUCAUGAGUGUAGAGAGCACAUGGAGAAGGAGUGUAAACCAAGAAAUCACUUAAUAGAUGUGCCAGUCAUUGAGGGAACGGUUUGGUUUGUUGAUGGUUUGAGCUUUACAACAGCUGAGGGACAGGCUAAAAUAGGUUUUACUGUAGGAGAUAUUUAGAAAGUUAUCUGUGCAGGACAAUUAGCAUGUUAGCAUUUAUUCUAUUAAUUUUCCUAUUAUGCUUUUAUUUGCGCUGUGUAUGUCAUAUCGCCAUUGUGUAUUGGUGGCAUUUUCCUGUGAACAUAAUUUUACAAUUUUACAUUUUUACAUUUUUAUGACCCUGAUUAUACUUGUGUUAUUUCCUUGUUUUAUGUUAAGCACUUUGGCAUACCGUUGGUUUUUAAAUGUGCUCUAUAAAUAAAG